ensembl:lncRNA
UUUGGGUUGAAAGAGACCUUAAAGUUCAUCCAGCCAAGUUCAUAACCUUGAAGUUAUUCCAGCCCCUGCCAUGGUCAGGGACACCUUAAAUUAUCCCAGGUUUCUCCUGGGAGAAGUGUCCUGGGAUAAGCCUGGCCUUGGAUGCUUCCAGGGAUGGAGCAGCCCCAGCUUCUCUGGGCACCCUGUGCCAGAGCUCCUUCACCUUCACAGGGAGGAAUUCCAUCCCAAUAUCCCACCUAGCCCCACCCUCCCUGCAUUUCAAACCUGUCCCUGUUCUCCUCUAUCCCUCUGGGGUUCCAGCUCUCUCCCUGCGGGACAAGGAGUGGGAGCACCCUGUGCCACCUCACAGGGAGGAAUUCCACCCCAAUAUCCCACCUAACCCCACCCUCCCUGCAUUUCAAACCCAACCCUAUCCCCUCCUGUCCCUUUGGGGUUUCAGCUCUCUCUCUGUGCCUCUCUCAUUGUGGGACAAGGAGUGGGAGCACCCUGUGCAAGGGCCUUACACCCUCACAGGGAGGAAUUCCACCCCAAUAUCCCACCUAACCCCACCCUCCCUGCAUUUCAAACCUGUCCCUGUUCUCCUCUAUCCCUUUGGGGUUUCAGCUCUCCCUCUGUGCCUCUCCCUGCAGAAAACCCUGUGGGACAAACAAGGAACUGGAGCACCCUGUGCCACCCUCACAGGGAGGAAUUCCAUCCCAAUAUCCCACCUAACCCUGCCCUCCCUGCAUUUCAAACCCAUCCCUAUCCCCUCCUAUCCCUCUGGGGUUCUAGCUCUCCCUCUGUGCCUCUCUCCUUCAGAAAACCCUGUGGGACAAACAAGGAACCUGGAGCACCCUGUGCAAGGGCCUUACACCCUCACAGGGAGGAAUUCCAUCCCAAUAUCUCACCUAGCCCUGCCCUCCCUGCAUUUCAAACCUGUCCCUGUUCUCUCCUAUCCUUUUGGGGUUCCAGCUCUCCCUCUGUGCGUCUCUCCUUCGAAAACUCUGUGGGACAAACAAGGAGCGGGAGCACCCUGUGCCACCUCACAGGGAGGAAUUCCAUCCCAAUAUCCCACCUAACCCUGCCCUCCCUGCAUUUCAAACCUGUCCCUGUUCUCUCCUAUCCUCUGCCAUGGACAGGGACACCUUCAGUUAUCCCAGGUUUCUUCAAGCCUGGCC